rnacentral:rRNA from 1 species
UACGAAGGGGGCUAGCGUUGCUCGGAUUGACUGGGCGGAAAGGGCGCGUAGGCGGUUCGUACAGUCAGACGUGAAAUUCCUGGGCUCAACCUGGGGGCUGCGUUUGAUACGUGCGGACUUGAGUGCGGAAGAGGGUCGUGGAAUUCCCAGUGUAGAGGUGAAAUUCGUAGAUAUUGGGAAGAACACCGGUGGCGAAGGCGGCGACCUGGUCCGAUACUGACGCUGAGGCGCGAAAGCGUGGGGAGCAAACAGG